AAUAUUUUGGCAGCAAUGAGAAUUACCUGAUGGCUGGUUCAACAUAAAGAAUGUAUUUUUUUUCCUUUUCUGUACCUCAAAGAAGCUAUGAAAAUCUUACUUGACUUCUGAGUCUUCAGAGUAGAUUUAAAGGCAGAUAGACAACAAGGGAGACAUGGGUGUCUCUGUACUGUCUCUAAAACUCUCAGUCUGCCUUUUUUUUUCCACUGCUCAAUCACAGGUUCUAACCUUAUCUUGUGCCUGCCCUCACCUGCAUAUAGACAGCAAUUCACAGAGCAUGUAACCUGGUGACCUCCAACCAAGUGGCUACAAGAUUGUCAGUCAUAUAUCCCAGCACCUGGCAUGCUUCCCCAUGUAAAUAGAGCGCCAUCGUGACCUUAAGCCUUCAGCCAAUGACGUUUGUCCACCCGGGAUAUUCCCACUCCCUCCCCCAAACUAUAUAACCCUUGGUUCACGUCAAAUAAAGCGUCUGUGCCUAAGUCCACCCUAAGUAACCAUAUGUGCACAA
rnacentral:lncRNA from 1 species